GCUCGGGUGGUGGAAUAGGUAUACACGCAACACUUAAAAUGUUGUGGACUUACAAGUCCGUGCGGGUUCGAGUCCCGCCCCGAGCA
rfam:Candidatus Buchananbacteria bacterium RIFCSPHIGHO2_01_FTLL_39_14 rifcsphigho2_01_scaffold_31561, whole genome shotgun sequence.